rnacentral:hammerhead_ribozyme from 1 species
AUCCAGCUGAAGAGUCCCAUAUAGGACAAAACGUGCGUCCUGAAU